GAUGUUAUAUAAAAUUCUUAAAUUGAAAAAUAGUUGGUAUGGAGAUGAAGAGGGUAAAUGUUAAAUAUGAAUAGACUUGUAGAUAAUAAUAAUCUCUUGGAAGUUGAAACAAUCAUAAAACCUAACAUUCAAAAUGGUAACCAGAUUCAGAAUGGUAGAGCAUCAACCAACCAGUCAGUCAACCUUCUCAACUAAUCUCUUCAAUCCAUCCUUGUUUCACCACACAACCAUAGUUUCGGCAAGAGUUUUUGUUCACCUUCUUCCAUGUCAAUACAUUAACAGGUUCCACAAGUUUGCAGGCAAACUCCCAAGAAGAUUUGACAUCCAGUGAAGAUGACCCAGCUACCUGCUAUUCAUAUUUCAAAAGGUUUCUUCCCUCAGCAGAAAAAAAAAAGUAUGCAUAGUAAGCAUGGGCUACAUAGUGUGGCAAGCAAAGCAACCGACUGAAAAGAGGCUUUUAAAUUUCAGUAUUGGGGAGGGAGGAAAAUGUGUAAUUGAUCAACAAUGGGAUACACAACUCCUAAAUGGAAAGUGAAGCAACUAGCUGCAUGGAAGUUUUUCGGCUUUGGCAUAAUGCUCAACAAUCUGGCUGUUCUUGAAGUUCACGAUGUCGUCAUAAAAGCAAUGAAACUGGGAGUGAAACUAGGUGGAGUUGCACAAGUUAGCUAAUAAAGUUAUUCUGGAGUCAUUGAAGAAGGGUUUCGUCCUUGUUGGUAUAAAGAAGCCGAGGAACUUACCAAAAACCGCGAUUGGAGUGCUGUUGGGAGCAAACAGAUGGUGACGAAGACCCGAGGUUGCUGCAACGGAGAAGGUGGACCAAUGGCUGAUACAAAAUGGAGAAGUUAGGGUUUGAAAUUGCAAUCCAAACAAAUCACGAACCAUUGAUGAACUGGUUGCGGCGGAGAUGGUGGACCAACAGCUAAUGCAAAUGGAAAGAGGGCGAAGGACUUACCGGAAAUGGCGAUCAAACUGACAAAUGAGAUCAAGAAGAAGAAGACUCCAGUGACGGCGAUGGACGUUUAGGGCAGAAGGAGAUCGAAAUGUUUAGGGUUCAGAAUUUUUUUUUCCUUUUAUAUUGUAGUUUUAUUGAAAUCCAAGGGCAUAUUGGUCACAAUAUGCAAAUAUGUGAGGAUAAUAUGGGUACACCAAUAUUUCGUGGCAUUUAUUAAAAUAAUGAUAAUAACCAAGGCAAUUUCGUCUGGAAAAUUAAAAAA